GUUUGACUUGUGGGUAUGAUAUUGGUUGGAACAUAUACAGGCAAUUAUUCACUAUUUAAAAGCAAUCCUUUGUAUUCCCAUGCACAAAAUGCAUGUUUGAGUUGUCCUAACUGAAAAUAACUUCCAUCUUUAAAAUAUCUCAGUGCCAUUGUUUUGUCUCAAGAUGCAUACCAGUAAUGUUUUUUUCUAAGGCAUUUUAAUAGAAGCUGUUUAUAUACCCUAAUUUAAGUAAGGCAUAGUCCUGGCUUAAGCUAAUCUGUCUGUGAACCUGGGCUUUUGUGCGAGAGUGAAGCUUUGCAUCACUAGCACCGUUUGCAGGCUUCACUACAUCUCCACAUUUCAAAAUUUUAACUUUCGUACUACUAAUAUACAUUUUAAUUUUACUUGGUUGUAGAUUAAACCCAUUUUAAGAGCAAAUGAUCAAAUGCAGUCUGAAGAUUUACUUCAUAUAAAUGCCUUUUAUUUAUUACUCAAAUCAUGGAAAUGUGUGUAUUAGUGUGUGUGCAAAGUCCCCUCAAAUCAUGGGAAUGUGUGUAUUAGUGUGUGUGCAAGGUCCCCUCAAAUCAUGGGAAUGCGUGUAUUAGUGUGUGUGCAAAGCCCCCUCAAAUCAUGGGAAUGCGUGUAUUAGUGUGUGCAAAGUCCCCUCAAAUCAUGGAAAUGCGUGUAUUAGUGUGUGUGCAAAGUCCCCUCAAAUCAUGGGAAUGCGUGUAUUAGUGUGUGCAAAGUCCCCUCAAAUCAUGGAAAUGCGUGUAUUAGUGUGUGUGCAAAGUCCCCUCAAAUCAUGGGAAUGUGUGUGUAUUAUGCAAAUGAUAUGCAUAUAAUAUGCUAAUUUGGUCCCUGUAAGUCACGUUCACCCGAUUUUUCAGAAGUCCCCAUUAAGCAUGGUCAAGUCAUUACUUCAUUAAUUGAGGUGUCUGAAGUCGUGUAUAGGCUAAGAGAGCUAUGGUUAGUGUCCCUAAUUUUUUUCAGACCUCUGAACCCUUUAGAAAGGGUGGUCCCCACAUGUGAUGAUUAAAAAGUUGGUCCCCAUCAAACAUGGAAACCAGUAUGUGUGUGUGUGUGUGUGUGU
ensembl:lncRNA